AGCAGUAGCCACGGGAAUACGUAGGUGGCAAGCGUUGUCCGGAAUUAUUGGGCGUAAAGCGCGCGCAGGCGGAUCAGUCAGUCUGUCUUAAAAGUUCGGGGCUUAACCCCGUGAUGGGAUGGAAACUGCUGAUCUAGAGUAUCGGAGAGGAAAGUGGAAUUCCUAGUGUAGCGGUGAAAUGCGUAGAUAUUAGGAAGAACACCAGUGGCGAAGGCGACUUUCUGGACGAAAACUGACGCUGAGGCGCGAAAGCCAGGGGAGCGAACGGGAUUAGAUACCCCAGUAGUCCCUGUCUCUUAUACA
rnacentral:rRNA from 1 species